rnacentral:rRNA from 1 species
AGGACGAACGCUGGCGGCGUGCUUAACACAUGCAAGUCGAGCGGUAAGGCUCCUUCGGGAGUACACGAGCGGCGAACGGGUGAGUAACACGUGAGCAAUCUGCCCUUCACACUGGGAUAAACCCCGGGAAACCGGAGCUAAUACCGGAUACUCUCGGCCGAUCACAUGGCUGGCCGAGGAAAGGUCCGCCGGUCAGGGAUGGGCCCGCGGCCUAUCAGCUUGUUGGUGGGUAACGCCUACCAAGGCGACGACGGGUAGCUGGUCUGAGAGGACGACCAGCCACACUGGAACUGAGAUACGGUCCAGACUCCUACGGGAGGCAGCAGUGGGGAAUAUUGCACAAUGGCGAAAAGCCUGAUGCAGCGACGCCGCGUGAGGGAUGAAGGCCUUCGGGUCGUAAACCGUCUUUCGGCAGGGACGAAGCGAUCAGUGACGGUACUGCAGAAGAAGCCCGGCUAACUACGUGCCAGCAGCCGC